UGAGGAAUAUUGGUCAAUGGGCGAAAGUCUGAACCAGCCAAGUAGCGUGCAGGAUGACGGCCCUCUGGGUUGUAAACUGCUUUUAGUUGGGAAUAAAAAAGAGGACGUGUCCUCUAUUGUAUGUACCUUCAGAAAAAGGACCGGCUAAUUCCGUGCCAGCAGCCGCGGUAAUACGGAAGGUCCAGGCGUUAUCCGGAUUUAUUGGGUUUAAAGGGAGCGUAGGCGGAUUAUUAAGUCAGUGGUGAAAGACGGUGGCUCAACCAUCGUUAGCCAUUGAAACUGGUAGUCUUGAGUGCAGACAGGGAUGCUGGAACUCGUGGUGUAGCGGUGAAAUGCUUAGAUAUCACGAUGAACUCCGAUCGCGAAGGCAGGUGUCCGGGCUGCAACUGACGCUGAGGCUCGAAAGUGUGGGUAUCAAACAGGAUUAGAUACCCUGGUAGUCCACACAGUAAACGAUGUAUACUCGCGGUUUGCGAUAUAAUGUAAGCCGCCNAGCGAAAGCAUUAAGUAUACCACCUGGGGAGUACGCCGGCNACGGU
rnacentral:rRNA from 1 species